rnacentral:misc_RNA from 1 species
UAAAUGGUGCAAAAACAAUACCAAAGUAAACAAAAAAUCUGAAGGAAUAUCGUUUCACACGUUUCCAACGAAUAUUUUAAUAAGAGGUGAAUGGGCGGCGGCUGUAAGACUGAGAAAAUGACCACGAUUAUGCUGGCCAUGCGCAUAAAGUCAAUUUAAUACCAUUAGUGAUUGAAAAAUAUUUGAACAUAAGACUACAUCAUAUUAAU